UACGGUUUAUACGGGUUAUGUGUUAUGGUACAGAUUAUACGGGUUAUGUGUUAAGGUACGGUUUAUACGAGUUAUGUGUUAUGGGACGGUUUAUACGGGUUAUGUGUUAUGGUACGGUUUAUACGGGUUAUGUGUUAUGGUACAGAUUAUACGGGUUAUGUGUUAUGGUACGGUUUAUACGUGGUAUGUGUUAUGGUGCGGUUUAUAUGGAGUAUGUGUUAUGGUACGGGUUAUGUGUUAAGGUACGGUUUAUACGAGUUAUGUGUUAUGGUACGGUUUAUACGGGUUAUGUGUUAUGGUACGGUUUAUACGGGUUAUGUGUUAUGGUACAGAUUAUACGGGUUAUGUGUUAAGGUACGGGUUAUACGGGGUAUGUGUUAUGGUACGGGUUAAACGUGGCACAGUGGUAUAAGGCACUGCAUCUCAGUGCAUGAGGUGUCACUAUAGUCCCUGGUUCGAAUCCAGGCUGUAUCACAUUCAGCUGUGAUUGUUAGUCCCAUAGGGCAGCGCACAAUUGGCCCAGCGUUGCCGGGGUAGGCCGUCAUUGUCAAUAAGAAUUGACUUGCAUAGUUAAAAAAAAAAAUUUUUCAAUAACUGGGUAUGUGUUAUGUCACGGGUUAUACAGGGUAUGUGAUAUGGUACGGGGUAUGUGUUAUGGUACAGGUUAUACGGGGUAUGUGAUAUGGUACGGGGUAUGUGUUAUGGUACAGGUUAUACGGGGUAUGUGAUAUGGUACGGGGUAUGUGUUAUGGUACAGGUUAUACGGGGUAUGUGAUAUGGUACGGGGUAUGUGUUAUGGUACAGGUUAUACGGGGUAUGUGAUAUGGUACGGGGUAUGUGUUAUGGUACAGGUUAUACGGGGUAUGUGAUAUGGUACGGGGUAUGUGUUAUGGUACAGGUUAUACGGGGUAUGUGAUAUGGUACGGGGUAUGUGUUAUGGUACAGGUUAUACAGGGUAUGUGAUAUGGUACGGGGUAUGUGUUAUGGUACAGGUUAU